GUGUAGUUGGUGAGAGAGGAUUGCCUGCUGUUGUCAGUUCUCCGGGUCCUCCAGGGAAGACAGGCCAAGAGGGCCUCCGUGGCCCCAGCGGCGAGAGGGGCUUCACAGGUAAACCAGGUGUCGAU